UGGGUCUAAACAUCCGUAGCUUGUUUCAUAAGUUUCUUGUGAAAUUCUGUCUCUUAAGGGCAGAGCGAGCAAGAAAUACUAUGUUGCUAGAGUCUGGAGGAUGUGAAGAGUACAAUCGAAGUAGUGGUAAAAUACGUUAAUCUUGAUUGGACUAACAACAGCGAAGGCACUUCACAACUACAGUUCUGACAGUGAGGGAUGAAGGCUAGGGGCGCAAAACGGAUUAGAUACCCGUGUAGUCCUAGCAGUAAACACUGCGCACUAAACAUCGGAACCUCCUCGAGAGGUUUCGGUGCUGUAGGGAAGCCGAAGAGUGCGCUACCUGGGAAGUAUAGUCGCAAGGCCGAAACUUAAAGGAAUUGGCGGGGGAGCACAAG
rnacentral:rRNA from 1 species